CUCCGUCGCAACCAAACACUCGUCUUUCUCGCUAUCGGAUUUUGUGUUUGGAAUGGUUUCGUUUUGCCUGGUGAAAGAAGAGAGCCAUUUAGCACGCAUGUACUCGGCUCUUCUCCACGGAGGAAAGUGCAUGCCUUUCUUCUUCAAGCUCUGCUUCGCAGCCUCCGAUACGAUUGAUACGAUCUGGCCUAGCCGAUCCGUUUUUCCGACGAAGAUGUACGGUAGUGAUUGAAGGAUUGCCCUGUAGGCUCCAGUUGAUCGAGCUAUUUCGAACUCCGAUCUGAAGUCAAUAUCGAUCAAAAGUCUUUCUCCUCCUAUAUUCACAUCUACAUACUCAUAUUCACCUGAUUACCAUAUUUUGGGAAGGGAAAAUUCCCCAUUUCGAUUUGCAAAUGGAGGAAUCGUAGCCGAGAGAAGAUAAUCCAUCAGCUACGAUAUUUCUCAAAUCG
rnacentral:misc_RNA from 1 species